rnacentral:rRNA from 1 species
GACGGGUGAGUAAUGCGUAGGAAUCUACCUAGUAGUACGGAAUAGCCAUUAGAAAUGGUGGGUAAUACUGUAUAAUCCCCGAGGGGGAAAGAUUUAUCGCUAUUAGAUGAGCCUACGUUAGAUUAGCUAGUUGGUGAGGUAAUGGCUUACCAAGGCUAUGAUCUAUAGCUGGUCUGAGAGGACGAUCAGCCACACUGGAACUGAGAUACGGUCCAGACUCCUACGGGAGGCAGCAGUGGGGAAUAUUGGACAAUGGGCGAAAGCCUGAUCCAGCUAUGCCGCGUGAGUGAAGAAGGCCUUCGGGUUGUAA